GUGGGGAAUCUUGCGCAAUGGGCGAAAGCCUGACGCAGCCAUGCCGCGUGAAUGAUGAAGGUCUUAGGAUUGUAAAAUUCUUUCACCGGGGACGAUAAUGACGGUACCCGGAGAAGAAGCUCCGGCUAACUUCGUGCCAGCAGCCGCGGUAAUACGAAGGGGGCUAGCGUUGCUCGGAAUUACUGGGCGUAAAGGGCGCGUAGGCGGACAGCUUAGUCAGAGGUGAAAGCCCAGGGCUCAACCUUGGAAUUGCCUUUGAUACUGGCUGUCUUGAGUUUGGGAGAGGUGAGUGGAACUCCGAGUGUAGAGGUGAAAUUCGUAGAUAUUCGGAAGAACACCAGUGGCGAAGGCGACUCACUGGCCCGUUACUGACGCUGAGGUGCGAAAGCGUGGGGAGCAAACAGGAUUAGAUACCCUUGUAGUCC
rnacentral:rRNA from 1 species